CCCUUAGAUGUCCUGGGCCGCACGCGCGCUACACUGAUGCAUUCAACGAGUUUUACCUUGGCCGAGAGGCCUGGGCAAUCUUUUAAACCUGCAUCGUGAUAGGGAUAGAUUAUUGCAAUUAUUAAUCUUGAACGAGGAAUUCCUAGUAAGCGCAAGUCAACAGCUUGCGUUGAUUACGUCCCUGCCCUUUGUACACACCGCCCGUCGCUACUACUGAUUGGAUGUUUAAGCGAGGUUCUCGAACUGCUAGCGACUUAGCUUCGGUGAGGUCGCAGUGUGGGAAGUGAACCUAGCUUUGGUGUCUAGAGGAAGUAAAAGUCGUAACA
rnacentral:rRNA from 1 species